rnacentral:rRNA from 1 species
CCGCGGUAAUACGAAGGGUGCAAGCGUUGCUCGGAAUUACUGGGCGUAAAGGGCGCGUAGGCGGAUCGUUAAGUCAGAGGUGAAAUCCCGGAGCUCAACUUCGGAACUGCCUUUGAUACUGGCGAUCUUGAGUGUGAGAGAGGUAUGUGGAACUCCGAGUGUAGAGGUGAAAUUCGUAGAUAUUCGGAAGAACACCAGUGGCGAAGGCGACAUACUGGCUCAUUACUGACGCUGAGGCGCGAAAGCGUGGGGAGCAAACAGG